GCCUCUUGACAAAACAUAAGAGGUCCAGCCUGCCCAGUGACAAAGUUUAACGGCCGCGGUACCCUAACCGUGCGAAGGUAGCAUAAUCACUUGUUCUUUAAAUGGGGACUCGUAUCAACGGCACUACGAGGGCUAUACUGUCUCCUUUUUCUAAUCAGUGAAACUGAUCUCCCCGUGAAGAAGCGGGGAUUAAAAUAUAAGACGAGAAGACCCCAUGGAGCUUUAAACUCACCAUGCACCUCUGUGCCCCCCAUACCCUUAAACACAACGGACCUGCAUGCUAGUUUUAGGUUGGGGUGACCACGGAGUACAACUUAACCUCCACAGCAAAUGGGCUAAUACCCUUAUCCACGAGACACAACUCUAAGAAUUAUUAUACUAAUGCUUAUUGACCCGAUAUUCGAUCAAUGAACCAAGUUACCCUGGGGAUAACAGCGCAAUCUACUUCAAGAGCCCAUAUCGACAAGUAGGUUUACGACCUCGAUGUUGGAUCAGGGUAUCCCGGUGGUGCAGCCGCUACCAAUGGUUUGUUUGUUCAACGAUUAAAACCCUACGUG
rnacentral:rRNA from 1 species